rnacentral:rRNA from 1 species
UACAGAGGUCUCAAGCGUUGUUCGGAUUCAUUGGGCGUAAAGGGUGUGUAGGUGGCGCGCUAAGUCGGGUGUGAAAUUUCGGAGCUUAACUCCGAAACUGCAUUCGAUACUGGCGUGCUUGAGGACUGGAGAGGAGACUGGAAUUCAUGGUGUAGCAGUGAAAUGCGUAGAGAUCAUGAGGAAGACCAGUGGCGAAGGCGGGUCUCUGGACCGAUACUGACGCUGAGGAGCGAAAGCGUGGGGAGCGAACAGG